GUCUCGGCUGGGGAUGGAGUGUUUGUGGCAUAAGAAUUUUCCGUAGUGAUGAACUGCCAAUGGGAGUUUGACUUAGACCUACUUGUAGGCCAUAGUUUGUAGUUGCUGCUUUCCCUCCUCUAGCAUUGGAUUACACUUCAACAUAGAGGUUGUACAUUUCUGACACGUAAGGGCACCUGCUGCAUUUUAGCCGCAGCCGAAUACCCAGGCUAUGCCUCUCAUAAGACUUCAUGUCCUAGGUCAGUUUGCCGUCAAAGCCUGGACUGGUCCGCCCAUGUUCUUUAAAGCUGUAUUAAACAUCUCACUUGUCUUUCCGAGAUGGAGAAGUCUCUGGGAGUCUGAAUCACACCUGCCAAAACCAGUUUUUUAUCUCUAAUUAUCUCCUCACUUGCUAUCCAGGGUCUUGCAAAAAUUGGCCACAGCAACCGUUGACACUAACGCCGCAACUUCAUUUCCUGCUGCUCACUUAGAAAGAGUGGAAGUCUGACCAGUUACAGGGUUUCCCGGUUUUCUCUUGUAGCAGAAAAAUACGCCAGAAUUGCCUAGGCUCAGCUGCAGGGGGCCAACAUUUUGGAUACCCAAAUUUGUGCAAAAAAGAAAAGCUGACAGGAGUCCUGAUUGGUCAUUUAUAGAAAAUCUUUGUGGUUGAAUUUGACAGUGAAGUAUAAGUGACAAAAAUGAGAUGUGACUUAUAAUCAUAUGUAAAAUGAUAUAGGGCUUAUAACCUGUAUAAAGGAAGACUUGAGAUGAGUAGUGAUAUUUUGCUGGAGAAUUUCAUUCAAUGCGAAUCUAAACCAGUUGAAAACAGGCCAAAAUUCAGAGGAAAAACGCCACGGCAGUGUAUAUUCUUCGUGGUGGAAUUUUGGAGAAGGCCUAGGGGUGUUGCAUUUUGCUUUAUAGUGACUAAUUUUUUGAAAAGUGAUUAUAUAAUUAUAAAUAAAUGACAGUGGUUUGAAUUUGUAUGGAAGUCUAUGGGAAAACCUUUGAUGGAGUUUGUCCUACAUGUACUGCAGCAAUCUAGACAAUAGAACAUAUGCUCAAUGGGUUUUACACGGGUCCAUCGAAUGCCUUUGUCUUGGCAU